UUAUACGGCGAAACUGCGAAUGGCUCAUUAAAUCAGUUAUCGUUUAUUUGAUAGUACCUUACUACUUGGAUAACCGUGGUAAUUCUAGAGCUAAUACAUGCUAAAAAUCCCGACUCACGGAGGGAUGUAUUUAUUAGAUUAAAAACCAAUGCCCCUCGGGGCUUUCUGGUGAUUCAUAAUAACUUCUCGAAUCGCAUGGCCUUGCGCCGGCGAUGGUUCAUUCAAAUUUCUGCCCUAUCAACUUUCGAUGGCAGGGUCUUGGCCUGCCAUGGUUACAACGGGUAACGGAGGGUUAGGGCUCGACCCCGGAGAAGGAGCCUGAGAAACGGCUACUACAUCCAAGGAAGGCAGCAGGCGCGCAAAUUACCCAAUCCCGACACGGGGAGGUAGUGACAAUAAAUACUGAUACAGGGCUCUUUUGGGUCUUGUAAUUGGAAUGAGUACAAUUUAAAUCCCUUAACGAGGAACAAUUGGAGGGCAAGUCUGGUGCCAGCAGCCGCGGUAAUUCCAGCUCCAAUAGCGUAUAUUAAAGUUGUUGCAGUUAAAAAGCUCGUAGUUGAACCUUGGGCCUGGCUGGCCGGUCCGCCUCACCGCGUGCACUGGUUCGGCCGGGCCUUUCCCUCUGGGGAGCCCUAUGCCCUUCACUGGGUGUAGUGGGGAACCAGGACUUUUACUGUGAAAAAAUUAGAGUGUUCAAAGCAGGCCUAUGCUCGAAUACAUCAGCAUGGAAUAAUAGAAUAGGACGUGUGGUUCUAUUUUGUUGGUUUCUAGGACCGCCGUAAUGAUUAAUAGGGACAGUCGGGGGCAUCAGUAUUCAAUUGUCAGAGGUGAAAUUCUUGGAUUUAUUGAAGACUAACUACUGCGAAAGCAUUUGCCAAGGAUGUUUUCAUUAAUCAGGAACGAAAGUUAGGGGAUCGAAGACGAUCAGAUACCGUCGUAGUCUUAACCAUAAACUAUGCCGACUAGGGAUCGGACGAUGUUAUUUUUUGACUCGUUCGGCACCUUACGAGAAAUCAAAGUC
rnacentral:rRNA from 1 species